CAUAGUGGCUGAUCCUAGAACAGGUAAACUACACUACUGGUGCUAAUUAAUACAGGAUGGAUCCAUAGUGGCUGAUCCUAGAACAGGUAAACUACACUACUGGUGCUAAUUAAUACAGGAUGGAUCCAUAGUGGCUGAUCCUAGAACAGUACUAAUUAAUACAGGAUGGAUCCAUAGUGGCUGAUCCUAGAACAGGUAAACUACACUACUGGUGCUAAUUAAUACAGGAUGGAUCCAUAGUGGCUGAUCCCAGAACAGUACUAAUUAAUACAGGAUGGAUCCAUAGUGGCUGAUCCCAGAACAGGUAAACUACACUACUGGUGCUAAUUAAUACAGGAUGGAUCCAUAGUGGCUGAUCCUAGAACAGGUAAACUACACUACUGGUGCUAAUUAAUACAGGAUGGAUCCAUAGUGGCUGAUCCCAGAACAGGUAAACUACACUACUGGUGCUAAUUAAUACAGGAUGGAUCCAUAGUGGCUGAUCCUAGAACAGGUAAACUACACUACUGGUGCUAAUUAAUACAGGAUGGAUCCAUAGUGGCUGAUCCCAGAACAGGUGAACUACACUACUGGUGCUAAUUAAUACAGGAUGGAUCCAUAGUGGCUGAUCCUAGAACAGGUAAACUACACUACUGGUGCUAAUUAAUACAGGAUGGAUCCAUAGUGGCUGAUCCCAGAACAGGUAAACUACACUACUGGUGCUAAUUAAUACAGGAUGGAUCCAU